CUUGCUCUUCUACCUUCUGGCUCCGCACAGCUCAGCAAGAAGCCCUCACUAGAUGCCACCGCCUUCAUCUUGGACUUCCCAGCCUGUAAAGCUGGCAAAGGAAAAGCAAUGGAAAGAAAACUGGUGAAGGGCUUGUUGUGAGAAAAAGGAAAGAAGAAAAGAAUGGAAGGAGAGUACAUAAUGGAACUGGAGCAUCCGAACACUCUUCUAGAAUUUUACUCUGAGAUGAAAUCUUCAAUCCAAAAGUCAGAAACUUACUAAAAACAUUUGGAAAGUGAAAAAAGGAGCCAGCAUACAAAGACUUAAAAAAUAAAUCAACAGGACAGAAUUUUCCACUGGAAACGGUGCUGUGAUUGGCCUGGCUCACGUUAGCCCCACGAACUUCAUGAGCUACAGCUCACUUGACUGUAUGAGACAUGUCUUUGUCAGGACUGGCAGUGGAUGAUUCAAGUAGAACUCACUGGUUCCAGAACUUCUCAAGCUAUGUUCUGCAGAACAUUAGGGGUUUUGAGAGAUAACUAAAAUUGUCUUCAUGGUCAAAUAUCUGG